rnacentral:rRNA from 1 species
GAUGAACGCUGGCGGCGUGCCUAAUACAUGCAAGUCGAGCGAACGGACGAGAAGCUUGCUUCUCUGAUGUUAGCGGCGGACGGGUGAGUAACACGUGGAUAACCUACCUAUAAGACUGGGAUAACUUCGGGAAACCGGAGCUAAUACCGGAUAAUAUUUUGAACCGCAUGGUUCAACAGUAAAAGACGGUCUUGCUGUCACUUAUAGAUGGAUCCGCGCUGCAUUAGCUAGUUGGUAAGGUAACGGCUUACCAAGGCAACGAUGCAUAGCCGACCUGAGAGGGUGAUCGGCCACACUGGAACUGAGACACGGUCCAGACUCCUACGGGAGGCAGCAGUAGGGAAUCUUCCGCAAUGGGCGAAAGCCUGACGGAGCAACGCCGCGUGAGUGAUGAAGGUCUUCGGAUCGUAAAACUCUGUUAUUAGGGAAGAACAUAUGUGUAAGUAACUGUGCACAUCUUGACGGUACCUAAUCAGAAAGCCACGGCUAACUACGUG